AUUGAACGCUGGCGGCAUGCCUUACACAUGCAAGUCGAACGGUAACGCGGGGCAACCUGGCGACGAGUGGCGAACGGGUGAGUAACGCAUCGGAACGUGCCCCAUAGUGGGGGAUAGCCCGGCGAAAGCCGGAUUAAUACCGCAUACGACCUACGGGUGAAAGCAGGGGAUCGCAAGACCUUGCGCUAAUGGAGCGGCCGAUGUCAGAUUAUGUUGUUGGUGGGGUAAAAGCCCACCAAGCCGGCGAUCUGUAACUGGUCUGAGAGGACGACCAGCCACACUGGGACUGAGACACGGCCCAGACUCCUACGGGAGGCAGCAGUGGGGAAUUUUGGACAAUGGGCGCAAGCCUGAUCCAGCCAUGCCGCGUGCGGGAUGAAGGCCUUCGGGUUGUAAACCGCUUUUGUUAGGGAAGAAAUCUUUUGAGCUAAUACCUCGGAAGGAUGACGGUACCUAAAGAAUAAGCACCGGCUAACUACGUGCCAGCAGCCGCCGUAA
rnacentral:rRNA from 1 species